GGGGACGACAUGGUUUCGACGGGAAAUAUUUGUUAGUGUAAAAGCAUGUGGUGGAUGGCAUUUGGCCACCUAAAAAAAUGCCAAGCGAAUAAACGCAAACAAUAAUUAUAGCCUUGCUAUGGCUGCUUAAGUUUAAGUAAAUAGCAGAUUUGGGAGGGAGUGCUAGAAAUCUCAAAUCUUUAUUCUACUAGCACAAAUUUUAAACCAAUGCCUUGAGGUUUAAUCUUAAAUAUUAGGCUAGGGUAUUGUGAGCAUGUUUGUGUGCGCACUAUACUUUAAAUAAAAUCACAAAAUAAACAUGUAGAAAGACCUAAUAAGAUUUUUCGGACGAGAGUUCAAUUCUCUCCGUCUCCACCA
rnacentral:tmRNA from 1 species